UUCUGUUCUCAGAGAGCAAAUGUAAGAUUGUUUUUCAAUGCUGAAUGCUUUGGGAAAAACAGAUGGACAGCUUAAGACCUAAUGCCCAUUGCUUGAUCUUAAGUGGACAAAACUGCCAUUUGCAGCUCAUGGUCCUUAGUGACUCGGAAGCAAGUUUGUCGACUCUCUCCUGAGAUGGUCCUGAAGACACAGACCCCGGGAUGUCCACGGAUAUUCUCUCAUGAGCCACAAUUGCUUUAGAGCUAAGGAGCUCAUAAUGGACCCAAAGAAGAAAACAGACAUGGAUCUGGAGAGGACAGAACAGCACCAGUCUGAACACAAUGAUUAGUGUAAUGAAGAAGCAAUUUGCAGAAAAAGUAAGAUGUGAAAACUUACUGCAUAGGGAUGAUGCAGUAGAGAGAUAAACUGCAGAUACCUCUGAGGUCCCCAGUGAGGAAAGCACAUGGAUAAUCAUGCCGUACAUGAACAGAGGAUGUGCAGAAGAAAGAGGAUGGGGAGGUUAACAACAUGGGGAAAGAGACGUAGACUUUCCUGUUGAGAAUAUUGAAUUGACUUGUAUGUGCGUGAAGGCUAGAUGCCCUGCAAACAGGGGGACAUUUAGGACUGAUAGCUGAGGAGUCCAGCCAGAGUGGUGACUUUAUACUUGUUUCUUGCUCUAUUCAGAUGUGAGCUGCCCACUGGAACUGCUGAUUACGAAAAGCAAUUAGAAGACCUGCCACCGAACAUGCCAUGGCCACAUGACUCACUACAGGAAAAGGUCUUUGUAGGCUUCCUCGCCCAACCCUGACUCAUCCGCAAUGUAUGAGCUC